GUAAAACCAAAGUUCCUUAUCUCGUCCCAACAAGUAAUUUCGCCUGUCUGGUUUGUACUGAAUUAUCUUCAUUUAGUACUGGUUAACUAAAUAUGGGGUUGAAUCGAAUCUCUUUGGAUAAAAAUGGACGGGUGAGUGGUGACACUUCUGCAUUUGUUAGGUCAUCUAUGAUCUAACCCCAGUCUUCAAGCGGAAGUCAGGUUGAGUGCUCUAUUGCAAUUGAGAUUUGAUCUGUGCAUCAUAGUUUGAUUUCAGCUGUUGCUAGAUGGUUCUCAAACGUGGGUUUCGCUGCCAAUUAUUCUUUGAAUGCAUUCAAGAUUUUGGGAAAUUCAAUGCAAGUUGGGGGUGCGUAUAACAUGGAUGCUGUUCUACGCCUUGCUUCUGCUGCAUCUUCAGUUCCUUACAUUUCUGCAUCAAAGAGAUCGGGUGUUGAGAAACUACAUCUAUCGAUCUAAAGAAGAAAAACCGUAAUGCAUUCCAUUUUCAACUAUGCAUACUAAUUUUAAGGAAUGCAAUUAGUCAAGAACAAGCUAAAAAUGGCCAAUUUAAAAGACAAUCAUUGAAAUGGGAUCAAAUCAAAAAGGUGGAGGAAGCCAAGAACACAUCAAAUAUUUUAACUUUGUAAAAGCCAAAAAUAGGAAAAUCUUAUUUUAUUUAUUUUUAUUUUUAUUUUAUAUUAAAUUAGUUUAGACUAAAUUUUGUAAACCCCAUAUAUAUAUAUAAAUAAGGGCUUUAUGUUCUUAAAAAAUCAUCC